GUGUCGCUAUGCAAGGCAAAUGAUUGGAUAGGGAGAGCACAAGAGAGGAGCACGUGGGAAUGCACUGUUGUUACCAUGACGACUACACGUGAAUCAAAAGGUGGAAAGGCUCGAAGCCCAGAAGCGGCAGGCACACCGAUUGACCCUCCGCCAAUGGAAAGGCCUGCCCACGAGGAUCGGCGGAGUACAUUUGCAAAGCGAAAGUUCAUUGCGAUCACUGUUUUGCAGGAAGCCCUGCUAUGAGCAGCCCUAUGGAGAGGCCCACGUGCUGAGGAACUGAGCUACUUGCCAACAGCCAUGUAGCCACUCUACAGUGGCCGGUGAGAUUUCCUCCAAGCCUACUCUUCUGAGCAGCAUUGUCUUAGUAAAUGGCACCAAAAGUCACCCAGGGAGGCAUUGCCUGGUGGGCCAUCAAUCCCGCAAGUAAUAUGAAGCCUCUAAAUAUUCAUAACCAUGAACAGACACCAAUCUUAGAGGAAAGAUGAAGUAAGAAGAGUCAAAAAAGGACUCUGCAGAGAGCUGCUCAAGUUCUGAGAAGCAAACCAAGGGCCAGUGGCAUCCUGAGCCCGGGGAGGGGAGCAUUUAAAGCAGCGGGAGAUUCGACGGCAUCGGCGGAGAGCUAGUCCCUCAGGGUUCUCAGUUGCACAUAACAGGAACAGACUGGCUGAUGGAAGCCCAGGGAAAACCAGCUAGAGGGUAUCCCACAGGCGUACCUCGGGCCUCACACUCAGUGGGUAGUGGGUGUAUCUGAUUGGUAGAGCCUGGGUUAGGUGCCCAUGCCAUAGCUACAAGGGAAGCUGGGAAA